CAGAGUGUAGUUUAAUAAAAAUAUUAGCUUUGGAAGCUAGCGACGGGCAACCCUCUCUGA
rnacentral:tRNA from 1 species